GAGAAAGGCUUGCCAGCAACGAAGACUGCUAAUCCUCGUCCCCUUCGGUUGAACUCCGAGGCUCUCUCA
rnacentral:tRNA from 1 species